CACGUAGGGGGCAAGCGUUGUCCGGAUUUAUUGGGCGUAAAGAGCUCGUAGGUGGCUGAGUAAGUCGGAUGUUAAAUCCCCAGGCUCAACCUGGGACACCACCCGAUACUGCUCUGGCUAGAGUCCGGUAGGGGAGCGUGGAAUUCCUGGUGUAGCGGUGAAGUGCGCAGAUAUCAGGAGGAACACCAGCGGCGAAGGCGGCGCUCUGGGCCGGAACUGACACUGAGGAGCGAAAGCGUGGGUAGCAAACAGG
rnacentral:rRNA from 1 species